rnacentral:tRNA from 1 species
GCCACGACGCGUAGCGGGUAGCGCACUGCACUGGGGAAGCACAGGUCAUGGGUUCAAAUCCCAGGCAGGGCA